UGAGAUUUAAAGAGCCGCAGUAUACCUGACUGUGCUAAGGUAGCAUAAUCAUUAGUCUUUUAAUUGGAGACUGGUAUGAAUGGUUAAACGAGAAAUCAACUUUUUUUGUUGUAAAGCUUGAAUUUAACUUUUUAGUGAAAAGGCUAAAAUUUUUCAAAAAGACGAGAAGACCCUAUAGAGUUUUAUAAUCAAGGGAAUAUUUCUUUCUUAGAUUUUUAUGAGAGGUAUUUACUGUAGUUAUUUUGUUGGGGCGACAUUUAGAUAUAAAAAACUCUUUAUUUUUAAAACUUUUAUGAAAGGUAAAUUGAUCCUUUAAAAAAGAUCAUAAGAAAAAAUUACCUUAGGGAUAACAGCGUAAUCUUUUUUGAGAGUUCUAAUCGACAAAAAGGUUUGCGACCUCGAUGUUGGACUAAAAUUAAGGCAGGGUGCAGCAGUUCUGCUAUAAGGUCUGUUCGACCUAUAAUUUUUUACACGAUCUGAGUUCAGACCGGCGUAAGCCAGGUUG
rnacentral:rRNA from 1 species